AACGAACGCUGGCGGCGCGCCUAACACAUGCAAGUCGAGCGAUUAAAGCUCCUUCGGGAGUAUAUAAAGCGGCGGACGGGUGAGUAAGGCAUAGACAACCUGCCCUAAAGAGGGGGAUAGCUUGGAGAAAUUCGGGUUAAUACCGCGUAAGCUUUUGAGUGAAUAUCAACCAGUAAAGGCUUCGGCCGCUUUGGGAUGGGUCUAUGUUAGAUUAGAUAGUUGGUGGGGUAACGGCCUACCAAGUCGACGAUCUAUAACUGGUCUGAGAGGAUGAUCAGUCACACUGGAACUGAGACACGGUCCAGACUCCUACGGGAGGCAGCAGUGAGGAAUUUUGCGCAAUGGGCGAAAGCCUGACGCAGCGACGCCGCGUGGAGGACGAAGUCUUUCGAGAUGUAAACUCCUGUCAGUGGGGAUGAUAAUGACAGUACCCACAGAGGAAGCACCGGCUAACUCCGUGCCAGCAGCCGCGGUAAGACGGAGGGUGCAAGCGUUGUUCGGAUUUACUGGGCGUAAAGCGUACGUAGGCGGCGAUGUAAGUCAGUGGUGAAAUCCUGCCGCUUAACGGUAGAAUUGCCAUUGAUACUGCGAAUCUUGAGUAUGGUUGAGGUAGGCGGAAUGUGUUGUGUAGCGGUGAAAUGCAUAGAUAUGACACAGAACGCCAAUUGCGAAGGCAGCUUACUAAGCCAUUAUUGACGCUGAGGGCACGAAAGCGUGGGGAGCGAACAGGAUUAGAUACCCUGGUAGUCCACGCCGUAAACGAUGUUCACUCGCUGUCUGCGAUACACAGUAGGCGGCUAAGCGAAAGCAUUAAGUGAACCACCUGGGGAGUACGAUCGCAAGGUUGAAACUCAAAGGAAUUGACGGGGGCCCGCACAAGCGGAGGAACAUGUGGUUUAAUUCGAUGAUACGCGAGGAACCUUACCUGGGCUUAAAUGUAGAUUGCAUGAUGUAGAAAUAUACUUCCUUCGGGACGCUCUACAAGGUGCUGCAUGGUUGUCGUCAGCUCGUGCCGUGAGGUGUCGGGUUAAGUCCCAUAACGAGCGCAACCCCUAUCGUUAGUUGCCAGCGGGUCAUGCCGGGGACUCUAACGGGACUGCCACCGUAAGGUGAGAGGAAGGUGGGGAUGACGUCAAAUCAGCACGGCCCUUAUGUCCAGGGCUACACACGUGUUACAAUGGCCGAUACAAAGGGCAGCUACCAGGUGACUGGAUGCUAAUCUCUAAAGUCGGUCUCAGUUCGGAUCGAAGUCUGCAACCCGACUUCGUGAAGCUGGAUUCGCUAGUAAUCGCAUAUCAGCCAUGAUGCGGUGAAUACGUUCCCGGGCCUUGUACACACCGCCCGUCAAACCAUGGAAGUUGGGGGGACCUGAAGUCUGUGACCGUAAGGAGCGGCCUAAGGUAAAACCAAUGACUGGGGUU
rnacentral:rRNA from 1 species